rnacentral:ncRNA from 2 species
CGCGCGGGACGACCCGCGCCAGUGUUCGCAUCGGGGACGGCCCCA